rnacentral:rRNA from 1 species
GAUGAACGCUGGCGGCGUGCCUAAUACAUGCAAGUCGAGCGAACGGACGAGAAGCUUGCUUCUCUGAUGUUAGCGGCGGACGGGUGAGUAACACGUGGAUAACCUACCUAUAAGACUGGGAUAACUUCGGGAAACCGUAGCUAAUACCGGAUAAUAUUUUGAACCGCAUGGUUCAAAAGUGAAAGACGGUCUUGCUGUCACUUAUAGAUGGAUCCGCGCUGCAUUAGCUAGUUGGUAAGGUAACGGCUUACCAAGGCAACGAUGCAUAGCCGACCUGAGAGGGUGAUAGGCCACACUGGAACUGAGACACGGUCAAGACUCCUACGGGAGGCAGCAGUAGGGAAUCUUACGCAAUGGGCGAAAGCCUGACGGAGCAACGCCGCGUGAGUGAUGAAGGUCUUCGGAUCGUAAAACUCUGUUAUUAGGGAAGAACAUAUGUGUAAGUAACUGUGCACAUCUUGACGGUACCUAAUCAGAAAGCCACGGCUAACUACGUG